rnacentral:rRNA from 1 species
UACAGAGGGUGCAAGCGUUGUUCGGAAUUAUUGGGCGUAAAGCGCGUGUAGGCGGCUUUGCAAGUCGGGGGUGAAAGCCCUCAGCUUAACUGAGGAAGUGCGCCCGAAACUGCAGAGCUUGAGUACCGGAGAGGAUGGUGGAAUUCCCCAAGUAGAGGUGAAAUUCGUAGAUAUGGGGAGGAACACCGGUGGCGAAGGCGACCAUCUGGACGGAUACUGACGCUGAGACGCGAAAGCGUGGGGAGCGAACAGG